ensembl:lncRNA
AGAGCGUGUGUGUGGCCGCCAUUUUCUCGUCUGCCGCCACAGGGACUGCCACGGCGUAUUCGUUAUUGGAUUGUGAAUGUGGCAGUGCAAAGAAUGUCCAUCGCAACUAGCUAGCAGACAAAGAAAGAAGAGUGAAGAGAGACAGGGAAAAUGAUGAGAGAGAGAGAGAAAGAGAGAUGAAGAAGAGAGCAUAUCCUGACAGCUUUCAAAUUCCAGCCUUCACAUGGUGUUGGAAUAGGGUAUCGCUGAUUGCCCUGAGAGAUCUGGGGAAUGGUGUGGGAUUGACGUGGCCUCCAUCCUCCAGUGGCGGUUGUGCUACCCUUGACGCCGGCCCGUUUAACAAGGCCUUCACUCAAGCCUGAGCAGGCCAUCAUCACACUCCCCCUACACUCCUACACUCAGGUCAAGGAUGUUUGACACCUCUCCUUCAGCCGGGCACACAGUAAUUCCUGCUGUUCAGUGUGUGACAUUCUGAUUCACAAUGACUUACAAGGACGGCUCUCCCAAAAAAGGAAAUGCUAGCAUCAUGUAUUGUCCCUUCUGUCAUUCUGAGUCCAUCUGAUUUUCUUUCUUCUGUGAAAUGCAAAAGGAGAUAUUUAGUUGAAUGUCCAAGCUGCUCUUUUCCAUUCAGUGAAAAUGGAUGGGGUCUAGAGACACCCUUGUGAAAAAGAAAUACAUACUGUUAAAAAGAGCACUUAUAUAUAAAGAGUUAUUUUGCAAAAACA